AGCGAACGCUGGCGGCAGGCUUAACACAUGCAAGUCGAGCGGGCAUCCUUGUGGUGUCAGCGGCAGACGGGUGAGUCACGCGUGGGAACGUGCCCUUCGGUUCGGAAUAACUCAGGGAAACUUGAUCUAAUACCGGAUACGUACGAGAGCAGAAAGGUUUAUCUGACGAAGGAUCGGGCCGCGUCUGAUUAGUUAGGUGGUGAGGUUACGGCUCACCAAGGCGAAGCUCAGUAGCUGGGCUGUGAGGAUGAUCAGCCACACUGGGUCUGAGACCCGGCGCGGACUCCUGCGGGUGGCAGCAGUGGGGAAUAUUGGACGAUGGGGGCAAGACUGAGCCAGCCAUGUCGCGUGAGUGAUGACGGCCUUAGGGUUGGAAAGCUCUUUUCUCCGGGACGAUAAUGACGGUACCGUAGGAAUAAGCCCCGGCUAACUUCGUG
rnacentral:rRNA from 1 species